ensembl:lincRNA 4933402C06Rik RIKEN cDNA 4933402C06 gene
AUGUGCCUUUCCACGAUUCCUGGCUAUCAGGAGCUUGUCUCUACUACACACUCCCACCAUGAAAUUUCAUGCUUCACCACAGAAGAAAAGCCAAUGAAACCAAACAACCAUGGACUGAAACCUCUAAAAAGCAUAAGCCAAAAUGUUUACUCAGAGAAGUGGAUUGGGUAUUUUUUUUUAUCACUGUGGCAGCAAGUUGACUAACAGAUCAGGCCAACAGAAAUGCUGAUAAAGGAGGGCUCCCCCACUUCCUCUCUUCCCAGCAUGCCUGCCACCUACCAUAAGUUAGGAGUGGAUGACAAGACAAUGUACCCGAAAGAUAGCAGGUCACCCUCUGCUCAGCCAGAGGGCAGGAAGAGCAUCCAGUCAACAUCCUCGGGUUUACAGGAGUGGCCUGACUGGUGAAGCCAAGAAAAGCUUUUUAAGUGGCGAAGAAAUGGUUUGGUGCCAGCAGUGGUCACAGACACACUUUCUGUAGCACCCUGCCCUGUCAUGCCCCAGAGCACUGCUGAAGCUUGGCUCUCCCAGAAUUCCUCUGGGUCUGCAACUUUUUUAGCUUUGGAACCACUCAUGCCCGUGGAGGAACCUGCAAUGUCCAGUGACCUAUGUGAAAAAAAGAAAAGACAAACCAACAAAAGUUAUCCAGCUAGGAUCGCAGAGUAAAACAAGCAGGAAGUUGAAUGUCAAGAUUCAUGAUACAACUUAAAACUAACCCCCAUGAACAAUCCAUGGUUGGAACUCACGCUGCCCAGCUAUGGUAUAAUAAACUGGAAUGCACUCUCUACGCCUUGGAAAAGCUAAAAGAUACUGUGCAUUUGGACACACCAGCAAGGAGAAAAUGCUGUGAGCAGACUGAGCAAAGACUGCUCCUGGAUGGACGCCCCGCUUCUGUGUUGGGAAGGAAGUAUGAGUCCCUGAGAAAGGGCUUUAUAAGUUUUUGAACUAACCAGAAGAGGACAGGUCUCUUGGCUAAAAACAAACAAUAGCAAGGUUCAUUUUUGCC